rnacentral:rRNA from 1 species
CGUAGGGGGCAAGCGUUGUCCGGAUUUAUUGGGCGUAAAGAGCGUGUAGGCGGCCAGACAGGUCCGUUGUGAAAACUGGAGGCUUAACCUCCAGACGUCGAUGGAAACCGUCUGGCUAGAGUCCGGAAGAGGAGAGUGGAAUUCCUGGUGUAGCGGUGAAAUGCGCAGAUAUCAGGAAGAACACCCGUGGCUAAGGCGGCCCUCUAGUACGGUACUGACGCUGAGACGCGAAAGCGUGGGGAGCAAACAGGAUUAGAUACCCUGGUAGUCCACGCCGUAAACGAUGGGUGCUAGGUGUGGGGGGUGUCGACUCCCUCCGUGCCGAAGCUAACGCAUUAAGCACCCCGCCUGGGGAGUACGGCCGCAAGGCUA